GAUGAACGCUAGCUACAGGCUUAACACAUGCAAGUCGAGGGAGCGGCGCACGGGUGAGUAAUAUGUAUCCAACCUGCCCUUUACUCGGGGAUAGCCUUUCGCAAGAAAGAUUAAUACCCGAUAUAAAGGAUGGGGAUGCGUUCCAUUAGGUUGUUGGUGAGGUAACGGCACACCAAGCCUUCGAUGGAUAGGGGUGCGGAGAGGAAGGUCCCCCAGAUUGGAACUAAGACCCGGUCCAAACUCCUACGGGAGGCAGCAGUGAGGAAUAUUGGUCAAUGGGCGCUAGCCUGAACCAGCCAAGUAGCGUUAAGGAUUAUGGCUUAUGAGUGGUAAUCUUCUUUUAUAUAAGAAUAGGUAUUAUAUGAAUAAGGAUCGGCUAACUCCGUGCCAGCAGCCGCGGUAAUUC
rnacentral:rRNA from 1 species